UACGUAGGGGGCAAGCGUUGUCCGGAAUCAUUGGGCGUAAAGAGCUCGUAGGCGGCUUGUCGCGUCGGAUGUGAAAGCCCGGGGCUUAACUCCGGGUCUGCAUUCGAUACGGGCAGGCUAGAGUUCGGUAGGGGAGAUCGGAAUUCCUGGUGUAGCGGUGAAAUGCGCAGAUAUCAGGAGGAACACCAAUGGCGAAGGCAGCUUGCUGGGCAUUUUCUGACGCUAAGGCACGAAAGCGUGGGGAGCGAACAGG
rnacentral:rRNA from 1 species